rnacentral:rRNA from 1 species
GACGAACGCUGGCGGCGUGCCUAAUACAUGCAAGUCGAACGCUUCUUUCCUCCCGAGUGCUUGCACUCAAUUGGAAAGAGGAGUGGCGGACGGGUGAGUAACACGUGGGUAACCUACCCAUCAGAGUGGGAGAACACUUGGAAACAGGUGCUAAUACCGCAUAACAGUUUAUGCCGCAUGGCAUAAGAGUGAAAGGCGCUUUCGGGUGUCGCUGAUGGAUGGACCCGCGGUGCAUUAGCUAGUUGGUGAGGUAACGGCUCACCAAGGCCACGAUGCAUAGCCGACCUGAGAGGGUGAUCGGCCACACUGGGACUGAGACACGGCCCAGACUCCUACGGGAGGCAGCAGUAGGGAAUCUUCGGCAAUGGACGAAAGUCUGACCGAGCAACGCCGCGUGAGUGAAGAAGGUUUUCGGAUCGUAAAACUCUGUUGUUAGAGAAGAACAAGGACGUUAGUAACUGAACGUCCCCUGACGGUAUCUAACCAGAAAGACACGGCUAACUACGUG